UACAGAGGAUGCAAGCGUUAUCCGGAAUGAUUGGGCGUAAAGCGCACGUAGGCGGCUUGGUAUGUCGGGUGUGAAAUCCCCGGGCUCAACCUGGGAACUGCAUCCGAAACUGCCUUGCUCGAGUAUGGGAGAGGGAAGUGGAAUUUCCGGUGUAGCGGUGAAAUGCGUAGAUAUCGGAAGGAACAUCAGUGGCGAAGGCGACUUCCUGGACCAAUACUGACGCUCAGGUGCGAAAGCGUGGGGAGCAAACAGG
rnacentral:rRNA from 1 species